AGCCGAUGCGCAGGCCUAACACAUGCAAGUCGAGCGGAAACGAGUUAUCUGAACCUUCGGAGAACGAUAACGGCGUCGAGCGGCGGACGGGUGAGUAAUGCCUAGGAAAUUGCCCUGAUGUGGGGGAUAACCAUUGGAAACGAUGGCUAAUACCGCAUAAUGCCUACGGGCCAAAGAGGGGGACCUUCGGGCCUCUCGCGUCAGGAUAUGCCUAGGUAGGAUUAGCUAGUUGGUGAGGUAAUGGCUCACCAAGGCGACGAUCCCUAGCUGGUCUGAGAGGAUGAUCAGCCACACUGGAACUGAGACACGGUCCAGACUCCUACGGGAGGCAGCAGUGGGGAAUAUUGCACAAUGGGCGCAAGCCUGAUGCAGCCAUGCCGCGUGUGUGAAGAAGGCCUUCGGGUUGUAAAGCACUUUCAGUCGUGAGGAAGGUGGUAGUGUUAAUAGCACUAUCAUUUGACGUUAGCGACAGAAGAAGCACCGGCUAACUCCGUGCCAGCAGCCGCGGUAAUACGGAGGGUGCGAGCGUUAAUCGGAAUUACUGGGCGUAAAGCGCAUGCAGGUGGUUUGUUAAGUCAGAUGUGAAAGCCCGGGGCUCAACCUCGGAAUAGCAUUUGAAACUGGCAGACUAGAGUACUGUAGAGGGGGGUAGAAUUUCAGGUGUAGCGGUGAAAUGCGUAGAGAUCUGAAGGAAUACCGGUGGCGAAGGCGGACCCCUGCACAGAUACUGACACUCAGAUGCGACAGCGUGGAGAGCAAACGGAUUACUACCCUGGUAGUCCACGCCUUAGACGAUGUCGACUUGCAGGUUGUAGCCUGAGCAAUGACUUCGGCAACUAACGCGUCAGUAGACUACCUGGGCACUACGGUCGCAUGACUAGAGCUCAAAUGACUGAUCGCACGCUGA
rnacentral:rRNA from 1 species